rnacentral:rRNA from 1 species
UACGUAGGGUGCAGGCGUUGUCCGGAAUUAUUGGGCGUAAAGAGCUCGUAGGCGGUCUGUCGCGUCGGCUGUGAAAACCCGGAGCUCAACUCCGGGCCUGCAGUCGAUACGGGCAGACUGGAGUUCGGCAGGGGAGACUGGAAUUCCUGGUGUAGCGGUGAAAUGCGCAGAUAUCAGGAGGAACACCGGUGGCGAAGGCGGGUCUCUGGGCCGAUACUGACGCUGAGGAGCGAAAGCGUGGGGAGCGAACAGG